rnacentral:misc_RNA from 1 species
CAUCAACUUCUCGGGUAUUCCAUCACAGAUGUGCACGAAAGCGGAAAUUUAGUGGACAUUAUCAACAAUUACAUCACAUGACCAGUUCGCGUAACGGUUUAUUGCGCGAACGAAAAAAGUGCAGCCGGCUUGGUAGCGCGUAGGAAUAUAUCAAGCACUUGCUCCGAGUCGGAGUAGAUGGGAAGUCUGUGAGUGAUUAUUGUGCGUAAGAGAGGGAAAUAGACUACUAACAGACGUUGUUUGGUCAAGCUUGAGGAAGGACAGUGUCCAGAAUGGAUUUAUCUAUUACGCCUUGUGUGUUGUCAUUGCUGCUCAUAGGAUUUAGCUAUGCCCAGGAAAUAAAGAUUUCCCCAGCUGAGAAGAGUAUAAGACGAGAAACAAACCAAAAAGGAUUAUUUAUAACUUGUGAAGUGGAUGGGUUGGCAGAUGAUCAAAAUGCAAACUUGGAGUGGCUGGACCCAGCUGACAACGUCAUUGGACCUUACAAUAGUGCAGCAAUGUCAAGGAUCUACUCCAUGCAGAUGCGCACCAGUAACGAACUGCAGUUUGACACACUGAAGAAUGGAGAUGAGGGGGUGUAUACAUGUCGAGGCACAAUCGGCGGCAACACCAUAACUAAUGAUAUACGGCUGGAACUCUACGACGGAAUCAAGGUGUUGUCCAACCACACCCAGCAACCUAACAUCUACACCGACGCUGUGAUUGCCUGUGCCGCCACGGCCAACCCCUUACCCACUGUGCAGUGGAGGUUUGCCAACAGAACUGAGGUCAAAGGUGAGCGCUACCGUCCACUGCCACAGGGGUUGGAGAUCAAGAACAUCACCAAGGCUGACAAUGGAGUGUACAUCUGCAUGAUCACUGUCAAGGAGAUGUCGGACUCACUGCCAUUCCAGAUCAAUGUCACUGUCACAGUUCCACCUUCCCUGAAGGGACCCCCAACUAGGAGUACACCCAUUGUCGGCAAGCGGUUCGAGAUGACGUGCGUGGCAGAUGGCACUCCACGACCAUCAUUCACCUUCAAGAAGGACAAGAUUGUGCUAACAGGAGAGAGGUACAAGGUCAGCGUGGUCAGUGAUGUGAAUGUCAACCAGGGGAUGCUGGUGAUCGAGGAGCUCCAGGACAGCGACGAGGGCACAUACUCCUGUGUCGCCCACAACCAGGGAGGAAAUGUGACUGAGUCUGUCUUCAUCAACACCAUUGUGCCUCCUGUCAUUGAGCCUAUCAUAAACCAGUCUGUACCAGAAGGCAAUGCUGUGGAGCUUGUGUGUAUCGCCAAGGGCGACCCUGCCCCAGUCGUCACCUGGAGAAUCGCAGGCUCCGACAUCACCAUUUCCGACAGCCAAGACAAAGACAUCACCAUUGAAUCAUCUGUGGAGGAACAGCCUCUGAUUCAAGUCAGGACCGUCAAGCUCAAGUUCGCCAAACUGGAACCAAAGCACGCCAACAACUACACAUGCUCUGCCUCCAAUGAAGCCGGAACUCAGGAGAAAGAUGGCCGCGUUCUCGUUGAGUUCAAGCCCAACUUCGAUGACACUCCAUACUCGUCCACAUACAGUUGGCUGAACGAGAAGACGGAGAUCAAGUGCGUAGCGAAUGCUGUACCUCUCGCCGUCAUCAAGUGGAAGCACAAUGGCGCCAUCAUCACCGAAGGACCCAACUUCAAGAUCAGCUCAGAGCGAGGAACUAGACAGAUGACCAGCAUCCUCGAGGUUUCGGUGAAUGUUGAGAAUAUGAACACCAUCUUCGGGAAGUUCACGUGUGUGGCUGAGAACUUGCAUGGCGAGCAAGAGAAGGAAAUCACGUUGAUUCAAGCAGUUGUGCCAUCCGCUCCGAGUAUUUCCAUUGAUGGGGUAUCCCCCACGACCAUCGAUCUGCUGAUAACCCCGCAUCAAGAGACCGGCGGCCAGCCCAUCAUUGACUACAAGGUCGUGUACUACGCAGAGGGCGAUGAGCAGAACAAGGUCACGCGAAUGGCACCUGUCAGCUCAAAUUCCCAGGAACUGCGAACUCAGUUCCUCAUCGAUAAGCUGACGGCAGAGGUGCGGUACUACAUCAGUGUGGAGGCUCGCAACAACGUAGGCUAUGGGGCCAAGGCUGAAAUCUCCGACACGACACCAGCUGUCCGGCAGCCAAACAAUCCAAAAGUUACCUCCCCUAGGACUAGUGACGAUCCCAACACGUAUAAGUUGGUUUGGGAGAAACCCGAGACUGGAGGCAAGCCCCUGACUGGCUACAAGGUCAAGUAUUACCAGGUGGAGCUGAAAGCGGAUGACCCCGAGAAGGUUGAGAAGGUGGUUGGCGAGAUGAUAACAAAGACCGUCGACCAGGGCGACACCACCCAGAUUAGUCUGACUGAAUUGAUGCCCAGUUCCGCCUACGAACUGCAGAUCACUGCCAUGAACGCCAUCGGCGUCUCCAUGGCCACCACUAAAAUAUUCACAACACCACCAGGCGGACUCACUGACGACGGAAUCAAAGGAGGUGUCGUGGCCGACACUGGGCCCCAGACCGGAGGAGCCACAUCAUCAACUAUCCAGGCCGUCACUGCGUCCUCAAAAGAAGACUCAGUUCCCGUGACCGACAACGCAAUCUCAAUGCACGUGAGCCUGUCAUCCCUGGUGGUUGUGUCCUCUGCCCUUCUAGCACGUAGUCUGGCUGUAUGCUGAUAAUGGCGACGUCACGGCCGCCUCCCCACUCCGUCAUAGGCAGGGCAACUACGAAUGAAAGAGUGAACGCGAGGUGCACAUCAAGAUUAUCUUUGAGCCGGAGAUACUGGAACAUCGUGCACCUGCUCCCUAUCUAUCUAUCAAUCAUUCCAAUAAUGGCACAACGUGCAGUGUGAAAAGACAUCCACAGAUUUACAAUGUGUGCCCUUUACUCAGUGCUUGACAGUUUAGCUCUGACAGCUUUGUAACUACCUGUGUCAGCAGUGAAGGGAAGGCCUGGUUCAAAUAUCGGCUCCACUUGUUCCAAUACUCAAACCUUUGGCAUCUAUUUCAAUCCAAUUGAAGUGGAUGCCGAGUGGGUCCUUGUCCAUCAACCUCCACCUUGCCGCUGACACAGGUACAUGUCCAUCUAGCAACUCGUAUUGUAAUGAAUAAAGUUAAUCAACCUGUAACGACCCUCAACAGCCUAGUCACCUUAAGUGGUAUGUAUGUUACGCUUACUGCAGUCGGAUCAGUGUGUGUAGCAAGUAUUUUUCAUUGUCGGCCUCUGAAUGUUGAUGUGGAAUGACUACGGCGACGGGUACUCGUUUCGUGCCAUAUAUGAUGUCAUUGGUUUUAAACGCAAAUAUCAAAAGCUCUUGGAUGUAUCAGUGUUGAGUACUUGGUGCUAGAUCAAGUCACAUUUGUAACCAGUUUCGAUCACACCUCUGAGAUGUUAAGGUUCAGUGUUGAAUAUUUGCUGAUAAAUAUUCUUUUCAUAAUUUAAUUAUCAACAAUGUUUUGUUUGAGUGUUGAAUAUUUACAAGUAUGUAUCAUGGUUAAACCGUGACGGUGUGUGUAUUUUGGUGAGAUCGUGUCAUUGGGGAGGACAAUGUUUGGGGAUAAGUCGUCUUGUGUGUUGUGUAACCAUCAGUGAAACUGAGGGGGAAUGUUGUCAAAUUGAGAAUAUUUAUUCAAAACAACGGUCUACACAUGAAGCUCACCAAAUUAGACAACACUGUUAGCUUGUAUAUGGACAAAAUAAUUUCUCUUGAUUUAUUAACUCUACUUGAAAGGUCACCAUUGUUCAAUACUUAAUUAUUUUCUUUAUUUUAUCUUUUUACAGUCAAUAAAUGCUUUAUAAUCUUGAAGGUUGUGGUAUUCUCAAAAUCAGGUCCGAGAAAAUAUUACAAGAUAUUUUAAUCUGAAAUAUUUUGCCGAAGAUAGCUUUUUUGUUUGAAGAUGUAUUGAGAAUGACAAAGUUUGGCUUCAUGGAAGCUGUUGGUCUUACGACAAACGAUUCAGAUGUGACUGUGUGCUACUUAAGACUAUUCAGAUCGUCUAUUGGAAACUUUCAUAAGAAAACUGCAAAGUGUACCCUGUCUUUGGACUAGGGCGGCUGCAUUAUUGAGAGUUUCUUGACACUGAGGGCUGUCGUUGUGGGAGGUUCCCGUGUUGAUAUAUCGACUGAAGAAUGUCAAUUAACAUUUAGUGUAUUAUUACAACAAUAUUCUGACAGGUAAUGAGAUGCAUUUAGAGUUUCCAUGGUAACGAGAUUUGUUUUUGGUAGUAGAUUUCCCUCAAUAUAAUAUAUUAUUAACCAACUUCACCAUCUCCCAGCAACCUUUAAUCUUUAUUGUUCAGGAAUCAGGUAUUAUAGCAGCGUAUGAAACUCCCAAAAAUUUCAGCCAGACCACAGGACUGGCGAGCUGAAAUACUUGCCAGCCCUGACCAAAACCUGCCUGCCCACUAUAAUCAUAUGUUUCUCAGGAUAAUUUAAUUACAAAUAUGAAAACUGAUUGCUUGUAGCAAAAGCGCAUCGCUAAAUGUUAGGUUGUCUAAAAGCUAACGGGGUUUCAAUUUGGUUACAUUUUAUCAUUCAUCUUUACAUGUGAAUUAAUGCUUAUCAUCGGGAAAUAUUUAGAAUAUUUUCACCUAUGAAAUAUAACCCGACCGUCGGGCAGGGGGAUUUGAAAAUCUGGCAGCCCGAGUUGAAAUCAGCCCGUCUCGAACGGUCGGGCAGGCAGGUAUUUCGAACGCUGAUUAUAGUUAAACAUUCAGGCUUGACUCAAUUUGGAAUUUCUGUAUAUUAUAGUGUAUAAAUGUUUCAGUAUCAGCUGGAAUGUAUUGAUACGUCAAUCUGCACUGAUCUGUCACUAGUUCUGUACAUGGAAAGCUGUAACGUUGAAGCAGUAUUGUAAAAACAAUGCCUGGCCACCUGGCUGUGUAGUUAUUUUGAUAUUUAGCUAGUGUCAUAGUUUGGCAUUACAUUCCAUACGCUUAGUCCAUAUGCCAGACGGGGAAUAUUUUCAUGAUGUAUUUAUCAGUAGCUUGUUAGACGUAAUCACUGUAGUGCUGCUGACAUCUCCACCCGAUGGGGAGGAGGAACCGGCUGGCAGACAUUCGUCUUUAGUUGGUUUGAUCAAUCGGUCAACAUUCGCUUUUACUUGAUUGGAUCAGAAAAUUCAAGGUUGGUUUGAUCAACCAGUGAACAUUUGUCUUUAGUUGGUUUGAUCAGAAAGUGAACAUUUGUCUUUAGUUGGUUUGAUCAGAAAGUGAACAUUUGUCUUUAGUUGGUUUGAUCAGAAAGUGAACAUUUGUCUUUAGUUGGUUUGAUCAACCAGUGAACAUUUGUCUUUAGUUGGUUUGAUCAGAAAGUGAACAUUUGUCUUUAGUUGGUUUGAUCAGAAAGUGAACAUUGGUCUUGAGUUGGUUUGAUCAAUCAGUGAACAUUUGUCUUUAGUUGGUUUGAUCAAUCGGUCAACAUUCGCUUUUACUUGAUUGGAUCAGAAAAUUAAAGGUUGGUUUGAUCAACCAGUGAACAUUUGUCUUUAGUUGGUUUGAUCAGAAAGUGAACAUUUGUCUUUAGUUGGUUUGAUCAGAAAGUGAACAUUUGUCUUUAGUUGGUUUGAUCAGAAAGUGAACAUUGGUCUUGAGUUGGUUUGAUCAACCAGUGAACAUUUGUCUUUAGUUGGUUUGAUCAGAAAGUGAACAUUUGUCUUUACUUGGUUUGAUCAGAAAGUGAACAUUUGUCUUUAGUUGGUUUGAUCAAUCAGUGAACAUUUGUCUUUAGUUGGUUUGAUCCACCAGUGAACAUUUGUCUUUAGUUGGUUUGAUCAGAAAGUGAACAUUUGUCUCUGUUAAUUUGAUCCAACAGUGAACAUUUGUCUUUACUUGAUUGGAUCAGAAAAUUCAAGGUUGGUUUGAUCAACCAGUGAACAUUUUUCUUUAGUUGGUUUGAUCAGAAAUUGAACAUUUAAAUUCUUGAAGAGCUUCAUUCUUUAUUUAAUGAAAAAAUCAUGGUGUGUGAUGUUUUUUUAAAAAAAAAAUACCUUCUUUGAAGUACUGAUGUUACCGCAGUAUGAACGAAAAUGAUUAUAGUUGGAAUUGUAUCUGGUUCUUUGUCAGGCUUGUUUUACAAUAAUGUUGACAUUCUUGUAAAAAAUUGUUUCUACUCCUCGGAUAAUAUUCAGUAUUAACAUCAAGUUGUGGACAACACUAGAUAUAGCCCUUGGAUUUGUCCCAGGUUGACAGUCAACAUGGGACAGUUUCACCAUCAUGGAGCUCUUGCCUCACCAGGCCCACGAGGGGCCACACAGGGAAACAUUCACACCUCAUGUUCCGUUCUUUCGGACUUGUAGGAUCAAUUCUUGGUUCUGAAAUCCUGGUUUCAUGUCUGUCUUGUAGUCUGUGCCGUUUCUUCCUCUAAGUGCAGGUCAGCUGAUGAAGAGCAUACCAGGCCACGCUGUCAAUGGUUCUGCAGAAUAUAGUUGUCGAUCAGUAGUUGAACCUAAGGGGAAAGUGGUUGAUCAGUCGUUGAACCUAGGGGAAAAUGGUUGAUCAGUAGUUGAACCUGAGGGGAAAUGGUUGAUCAGUAGUUGAACCUGAGGGGAAAUGGUUGAUCAGUAGUUGAACCUAAGGGGAAAGUUGUUGAUCAGUAGUUGAACCUAAGGGGAAAGUGGUUGAUCAGUAGUUGAACCUAAGGGGAAAGUGGUUUAUCAGUAAUUGAACCUAAAGGGAAAGUGGUUGAUCAGUAGUUGAACCUGAGGGGAAAGUGGUUGAUCAGUCGUUGAACCUAGGGGAAAAUGGUUGAUCAGUAGUUGAACCUUAGGGGAAAAUGGUUGAUCAGUCGUUGAACCUAGGGGAAAGUGGUUGAUCAGCAGUUGAACCUAGGGGAAAGUGGUUGAUCAGUAGUUGAACCUUAGGGGAAAAUGGUUGAUCAGUAGUUGACCCUUAGGGGAAAAUGGUUGAUCAGUAGUUGAACCUAAAGGGAAAGUGGUUGAUCAGCAGUUGAACCUAAAGGGAAAGUGGUUGAUCAGUAGUUGAACCUAAAGGGAAAGUGGUUGAUCAGCAGUUGAACCUAAAGGGAAAGUGGUUGAUCAGCUGUUGAACCUAAAGGGAAAGUGGUUGAUCAGUAGUUGAACCUGAGGGGAAAAUGGUUGAUCAGCAGUUGAACCUAAAGGGGAAGUGGUUGAUCAGUAGUUGAACCUGAGGGGAAAAUGGUUGAUCAGCAGUUGAACCUAGGGGAAAGUGGUUGAUCAGCAGUUGAACCUAGGGGAAAGUGGUUGAUCAGUAGUUGAACCUAAAGGGAAAGUGGUUGAUCAGUAAUUGAACCUAGGGGAAAAUGGUUGAUCAGUAGUUGAACCUGAGGGGAAAGUGGUUGAUCAGUAGUUGAACCUAAAGGGAAAGUGGUUGAUCAGUAAUUGAACCUAGGGGAAAAUGGUUGAUCAGUAGUUGAACCUGAGGGGAAAGUGGUUGAUCAGUAGUUGAACCUGAGGGGAAAUGGUUGAUCAGUAGUUGAACCUAAAGGGAAAGUGGUUGAUCAGUAGUUGAACCUGAGGGGAAAUGGUUGAUCAGUAUUUGAACCUGAGGGGAAAAUGGUUGAUCAGUCGUUGAACCUAAGGGGGAAAAUGGUUGAUCAGUAAUUGAACCUAAAGGGAAAGUGGUUGAUCAAUAGUUGAACCUAAGGGGAAAAUUGGUUGAUCAGUAAUUGAAAGUAAGGGGAAAAUGGUUGAUCAGUCGUUGAACCUAGGGGGAAAAUGGUUGCUCAAUAGUUGAACCAGUGGAGAGAGUCAUCAAUAGUUAAACUUGGGGGGGAGGGGGGGGGGGGUGCCUUGUUAAGAUUAGUCUGUUAAGAGUUAGAGAUGAUCCUUGGGUGGCUAUUGGGAAACAGCUGCACCUGUCGACAUCCUCGAUUUCCAGUUACUGUUGUUAUUGCUACAUGACUCACUGCUGAGACAAGUCAUCAUGUUACCAUGGUAACCAGUUUAUAAUAUUUUGUGUCCCAGUCUGGAGUCUGCUGCUUCUUUCCCUUCAAAUACUCAGGGCUCCGGAACCUUUCUCUGUGGCUGCUCACCGGAGCCUCAUUGUGGAUUCACCAUACAGUGUGUUACGUUGUUUCUGUCCGAUUCUACACACAGUGUUUCUGUACAGUUGACUGUAGCUCCGAGUGUACAUUUCUCUAGUUGGUGGUUAUCUCCCCUUCCGUCGUAGCCUCUGUCUUGUGUGUCCUUCACCUUCUCUCUCCACCACUAUGCAAGACGUGCAAUCACAUAUUAGGUUCCUUUCGUUUGUCCUUUGUCAGUGGGUUACAGAGCACAAAACCUGCACAAAACCGGAAAUCAAGUCGUUGUGUGUGUCUCAGACAAAGAACUUUGGUUUUCUGGAAGAAAAUAGAACCCCAAAUGUUUCUGUACUUUUUCUUGUCAGUCACACCUUGAACUCGGACAACAACUUUUCAGAGUGUGUUGUCCACUUGAAUUAUUGCUCCACAAAGCUGUCUGUAUGCCUGCACAACCAUCAACAAGGCUUACAGCAGAAGUUGGGCAGUGGCGUCUGUACAGACCAAAGCCACAAUACUAUCUAAAUAGUCCCGAAAUUUCGACUAGAAAUCAUUUUGUUUGUUGACAAAUGGACAGUUAUCUACAAUGUAGAUAAAGUGCUAUAGUUUUCGUAUUAAUUGCUGCUUGCCGUUUGGUUUAUUUAGACAUACAUUUGAAGUCGAGAUUUUGCAAAUAGACAGUGUCUGACCUCAUUAGACUCAUUGUUCACAUCGCCAUGGUUCAUCCGUAGCAUCAUCCUUAGUCCCCAUCGUCAUCCCGGAACAUCGCUCAUAUCCAAAUCAACUCUAAUCUUCAUGCUUAGAAUAACAAACUUUGAUUGAUCUUGGAAACACUUAAAUCAUUUAAGCAUCUGAAGAAAUGUUGUGAUUCAUGACCCUACCACCGUAGACGUUGUCCCGAGUUUCCCAUGGUAUCUUCAAGUUGUGUUGUCGAAACAGCAAGGUAUUAGAUGUGGCUUGAGUUUGUGGCAGUAUAAACUCCAUCAGGCUGUUGUGCGUUACACGGAACACACUAUUCAAGUGUCUCUUGUCAAUUGUAUGCAUAUAUAUAUCUAUCUAUCUACAUAUUGUCUACGCCAAACAGUUUCACUACCUAGAUGUUCCAAGUCCGCACUUUCACCUUGUCAGCAUGUUGUAUUCGGAAUUGGCAUCUGUCGUAGUCCACGGUUCAUCAGUUGAUCUUCUGUAAUUAUCAAAUUACUAGAAAUAUGCCUUUUCAGAUGCUGAGCUUCUAAAGUCACUCAUUUAGUUUACUCAGUAUGUAUUUUAGUGUACUGUAAUGCGAGGCUGAUGAACUAGCUAGUUCUCUAUGAUCAAUGUUUGUUGAAUGUCUGUUGAAUGUUUCGAUGUAGUUUUCUCUGUCAUAAUUCACUUGUAAUUUAACAUUUUCAUGUUUGUUUAUUUUCCAUUUAGUAAUGAGUUGAAUAAAAAUUUUAUUAUUA